rnacentral:snoRNA from 2 species
AAGACUAUACUUUCAGGCUUCAUUUCUAUAGUUUGUUACUAGAGAAGUUUCUCUGAAUGUGUAGAGUACUUGCUAAAGCAGC